CCGAAAGGCUGAGGGAGCGACGCCGCGUGCAGGAAGAAUCCCUUCGGGGUGUAAACUGUCUUUUCUUCAAGAACAACUCUGAGUGUACUGAAGGAAUAAGGGGCUGCUAACUUCGUGCCAGCAGCAGCGGUAAUACGAAGGCCCCGAGCGUUAUCCGGAUUUAUUGGGCGUAAAGCGUUAAUAGGCGGUUCGGUAAGUAUCUGGUUAAAUCUCAUGGCCCAACCAUGAGGCUGCCGGAUAAACUGCCGGACUUGAGGUCGGAAGAGGCAAGCGGAACUACCGGUGUAGUGGUAAAAUGCGUUAAUAUCGGUAGGAACACCAAAGGCGAAGGCAGCUUGCUGGUACGAACCUGACGCUAAAUAACGAAAGCGUGGGGAGCGAAUGGGAUUAGAUACCCCAGUAGUCCACGCCGUAAACGAUGGAUGCUAGGGAUUGGGAGUUUCGACCCUCUCAGUCUCGUUCAAGCUAACGCGUUAAGCAUCCCGCCUGGGAAGUACGGCCGCAAGGCUA
rnacentral:rRNA from 1 species